AGUGAACGCUGGCGGUAGGCCUAACACAUGCAAGUCGAACGGCAGCACAGUAAGAGCUUGCUCUUACGGGUGGCGAGUGGCGGACGGGUGAGGAAUACAUCGGAAUCUACUUUUUCGUGGGGGAUAACGUAGGGAAACUUACGCUAAUACCGCAUACGACCUACGUGUGAAAGCAGGGGAUCUUCUGACCUUGCGCGAUUGAAUGAGCCGAUGUCGGAUUAGCUAGUUGGCGGGGUAAAGGCCCACCAAGGCGACGAUCCGUAGCUGGUCUGAGAGGAUGAUCAGGCACACUGGAAAUGAGGCACGGUCCAGACUCCUACAGGAGGCAGCAGUGGGGAAUAUUGGACGAUGGGCGAGAGCCUGAUCCAGCCAUACCGCGUGGGUGAAGAAGGACUUCGGGUUGUAAAGCCCUUUUGUUGGGAAAGAAAAGCAGCAGGUUAAUACCCCGCUGUUCUGACGGUACCCAAAGAAUAAGCACCGGCUAACUUCGUG
rnacentral:rRNA from 1 species